rnacentral:lncRNA from 1 species
UUAUAAUAUUAAAAUGUCUACGUAAUCUUUCUUUCAUAUUGAUUCUUUCUUUUCUUUUUUCUUCUUUUGAGACAGGGUCUUACUUUGUAGCCCUGACUGGCCUGGAACUCACCAUGUAGACACAGCUGGCCAGAAUCUCAUAGAAAUCUCCUGGCCUCUUCCUCCAGAGUAGGCCUCUUCAUGAGAACCUCGAAGCUGGCAGCAGUAAACUUUUACAGAAAAGCGUCUGCAUAUUCGGAGUUCAGGACUCUUAAAUGCUCAGCCAAAAGUCAGUAUGUAGACCAGAUCUUCCUCCCUCUGCCUCCCAAGUGCUGGGAUUAGCGGUAGGCCCUCAUGCCUGGCCUGAGCAUCUCUGGCGCUAUCCCAGCACUUUGUUUGGACACUGGCUAUUGCCAGAUUUCUGUGCUCUGCAUGUAGUGCGGAUUGAUUGACAGAUUGACAGGUGAACUGCACAAAGGCUCAGAGGGGUGUCCUCCUUGGAGAAUGGUAGUGCAGCAUUUUCCUGCAUCUCCCAGUUUCAGUACUGUUGUCAAUCCAUGUAUUACAAAAUAUGCCCACAUAAAGCUUAGUGAAAAAAAUUCUAUUUUCUUUCAAACACAGUUUUAAAACUAUGAAGCUUAAACAGACAACACAAAAUGUAAAAACAGUAGCCAGUCAACAUGAAGAGUCAUUGGAUGCUUAGUUUAUCCCAGGUCUGUGAUUCAGGGUUUGCUUUUACAUAACUAGUAGACAGGUAAGAAACACCUGGCCUUAGUGAAGUCAUUACCUUACUUGGCCAGUCAUGGCUGGCUUAGGGGCUUGCCGAUAGGUUUCAUGUACCUAGAAAAAAAUAUUUUUUUAUUAUUAUUUGAAAACUGAAUGUAAACAGAAAACAAAGAAAAGAGAUAUACUUGUUAUUGGGGAGCUCUUCCCCCCCCCCCUCCUCCUCCAACCCAUGAGCACUCUUUGGUGUUGGAGAUCAAGACCCAGAACUUUGAGCUCCCUAAGCAAUUCUGUCACCCAGUUAAAUCUCUAACCACAAAGUCUUUGACUUUAAAAUCACUUUCUCAUAGCUGCAGAAAUCACAUAUUCUAGGGACAGUUUCCAUCCUACAAGAAUUACUGCUUGUAAGUAAUAAGCUACCAUCUGUGGCUAAAUUGAUGGCAUGUGUUGACUCAAUUUUUGGAAGAAAUAGUCUUAGUCAUAUUUGCUACAAGGGCGUCUUGUUCUCCAAGGAAAAUGUCACUCUGGGAAUUUUGCACAACGUUUCUUGGGGUAGUGCAUAACAAACUGCAGCAAAACAACAGAAAAGGGGCUUGGGGGUGGGGUUGACUUUCUCAAUAUAAGGGCUUAUGUGGGUCUCAGAGUAAAGGUCACUUUGUCACCCUUGAGAUUCUAUUUCAGGGGCACUCUGAAGUGAACACAUUUAACUUGGGUUAAUUAAUAUGUAAGCUACAUCGUUUUUGGUGUUCAUUCCCAUAGGAAGAGAAUGAGGACGUUCUGAAGCUAAUGAUCGAUGGUGGAGAUUCUCAGGUAUUAAAAGGAGAUUCUUAGGUAUUAAAAUACAUAGUUUUUAUUUAUAUAUUGUGUUCGGAGAAAAAAAUAUAAACCUGUGGGCUGGGAAUGUAGCUCAGUUGGUAGGGUGCUCACCUAGCACACAUAAAGCUCUGGGUUUGAUUCCUAGAAUUAACUGGGAGAGGUGACAAGUUCAAGGCUAGCCAGGGAUACUUGAGGCACUAUCUCAAAAAUUAUAUGUAUGUAUUCGUGUAUACAUGUAUUUGUAUACAUAUGGAAAUAUAUUUAUUUUUAUAUUUAAAAAAUUCAUUUAAAUGAAUCUUAUCCACAAAAAUCUAAAAAUGAGUUACUAAAUGGUACAUACUUUUCAAACCUAUAAAGAGAGAGAGAAAUAGGGUGAGAUUAUUUGACAUUGUUGGAUUUC